rnacentral:rRNA from 1 species
CCUACGGGAGGCAGCAGUGGGGAAUAUUGCACAAUGGGCGCAAGCCUGAUGCAGCAAUGCCGCGUGUGUGAAGAAGGCCUGCGGGUUGUAAAGCACUUUUAUUAGGAAAGAAAAACCCGGAGCUAAUACCUCCGGCAUUGACGGUACCUAAAGAAUAAGCACCGGCUAACUCAGUGCCAGUAGCCGCGGUAAUACUGAGGGUGCAAGCGUUAAUCGGAAUUACUGGGCGUAAAGCGAGUGUAGGCGGUUACCUAAGUCGGAUGUGAAAGCCCUGGGCUCAACCUGGGAAUGGCAUUCGAUACUGGGUAACUAGAGUUUGGUAGAGGUAAGUGGAAUUCCGGGUGUAGCGGUGAAAUGCGUAGAUAUCCGGAGGAACAUCAGUGGCGAAGGCGGCUUACUGGACCAAAACUGACGCUGAGGCUCGAAAGCGUGGGGAGCAAACAGGAUUAGAUACCCGAGUAGUC